rnacentral:rRNA from 1 species
CCUACGGGGGGCAGCAGUGGGGAAUAUUGGACAAUGGGGGGAACCCUGAUCCAGCCAUGCCGCGUGUGUGAAGAAGGCCCUCGGGUUGUAAAGCACUUUCAGUGAGGAAGAACGCCUGGUGGUUAAUACCCAUCAGGAAAGACAUCACUCACAGAAGAAGCACCGGCUAACUCCGUGCCAGCAGCCGCGGUAAUACGGAGGGUGCGAGCGUUAAUCGGAAUUACUGGGCGUAAAGCGCGCGUAGGUGGCUUGAUAAGCCGGUUGUGAAAGCCCCGGGCUCAACCUGGGAACGGCAUCCGGAACUGUCAAGCUAGAGUGCAGGAGAGGAAGGUAGAAUUCCCGGUGUAGCGGUGAAAUGCGUAGAGAUCGGGAGGAAUACCAGUGGCGAAGGCGGCCUUCUGGACUGACGCUGACACUGAGGUGCGAAAGCGUGGGUAGCAAACAGGAUUAGAUACCCCUGUAGUC